GUCAGACGUGGCUACAGCACACGGGGAGGGGGGGGUGGCGGCGACUUUAAUUCCUUCUGACAAGUUCACCGGUAAAACAUGGUGGUGUUCUUGAUGAAAUAAUUAAUUACAUCCAAUCAUUGCAACAUCAAGUUGAGUUCUUGUCUAUGAAGCUUGAAGCUGUAAAUGCAAGGAUGGCCUUGCCUGUAGAAGGGGUUCAUACGAAAGAUGUAAGUUUUGUUUGUCGAUUUUUCUUGGUAACCUUGAGAAACUUUUAGGGAAAACUUAUGGGGCCCGUCAAUACCCUAAUAACUAA